GACGAACGCUGGCGGCGUGCUUAACACAUGCAAGUCGAACGGAAAGGCCCUGCUUUUGUGGGGUGCUCGAGUGGCGAACGGGUGAGUAACACGUGAGUAACCUGCCCUUGACUUUGGGAUAACUUCAGGAAACUGGGGCUAAUACCGGAUAGGAGCUACUGAUGCAUGGUGGGGGUUGGAAAGUUUCGGCGGUUGGGGCUGGACUAGCGGCUUAUCAGCUUGUUGGUGGGGUAGUGGCUUACCAAGUCUUUGACGGGUAGCCCGCCUGAGAGCGUGGACGGCCACCAGGGGACUGAGAGACGGACCAGACUGCUACGUGCGGCAGCGGGGGGGAGUAUGGCACAACGAGCGGAAGCCUGAUACAGCAGCGCCGCGUGCGGGAUGCCGUCCUUCGGGUUGAAAACCGCUUUCGCCUUUGACGAAGCGGGAUUGACGGUAAUUAGUAAAGAAGCACCGGCUAACUACGCG
rnacentral:rRNA from 1 species